rnacentral:tRNA from 1 species
GCUGUAGCUCAGUUGGUUAGAGCGCUGGAUUGUGGUUCCAGAGGCCGGGGGUUCGAAUCCCCUUAG